rnacentral:misc_RNA from 1 species
GUGAAUCAUCGAAUCUUUGAACGCAAAUUGCACUCUCUUCGGAGAGUAUGCCUGUUUGAGGGUCAGCCUAAAAAAAAUCCACCUAGUUGCUGUUUUGCGGUGACAUUUGUCGGAAAUUUGGUCAUCUUUAACCUUUUGGUUUUUAGCGGCUUAAAAUUUUUUUUUCGAUUCCAAGAAAGUUUUUAAGAUUUUCUUUUUUAACGUUUUA